AUACGGAGGGUGCAAGCGUUAUCCGGAAUCAUUGGGUUUAAAGGGUCCGCAGGCGGAUUAAUAAGUCAGUGGUGAAAUCCUCUCGCUCAACGAGAGGACUGCCAUUGAAACUGUUAGUCUUGAAUUCGGUCGAAGUAGGCGGAAUGUGUCAUGUAGCGGUGAAAUGCAUAGAUAUGACACAGAACACCGAUAGCGAAGGCAGCUUACUAGACCUGGAUUGACGCUCAUGGACGAAAGCGUGGGGAGCGAACAGGAUUAGAUACCCUAGUAGUCC
rnacentral:rRNA from 1 species